UACGUAGGGGGCAAGCGUUGUCCGGAAUCAUUGGGCGUAAAGAGCGUGUAGGCGGCCAGGUAGGUCGGUUGUGAAAACUGGAGGCUCAACCUUCAGAGGUCGACCGAAACCAUCUGGCUAGAGUCCGGGAGAGGAGAGUGGAAUUCCUGGUGUGAGCGGUGAAAUGCGCAGAUAUCAGGAAGAACACCAAUGGCGAAAGCAGCUUCUGGGACGGUACUGACGCUGAGACGCGAAAGCGUGGGGAGCGAACAGG
rnacentral:rRNA from 1 species